UACGUAGGUGGCGAGCGUUGUCCGGAAUUACUGGGUGUAAAGGGAGCGCAGGCGGGGAGUCAAGUUGGAUGUGAAAUACCGCAGCUCAACUGCGGGGCUGCAUCCAAAACUGGUUCUCUUGAGUGAAGUAGAGGUAGGCGGAAUUCCUAGUGUAGCGGUGAAAUGCGUAGAUAUUAGGAGGAACACCAGUGGCGAAGGCGGCCUACUGGGCUUUAACUGACGCUGAGGCUCGAAAGCGUGGGGAGCAAACAGG
rnacentral:rRNA from 1 species